AUUCAUCAAAAAAUUAAAAAUUAUAAAAAAUCUUUAAAAGUACAAAUAUCUUUAUAAUUUUUAUGAAAUAUAAAUUUAAAAAGUUAUAGUUAGAAGUGCUCUUUUAAGCUUAUGGGAGCAAUAUCAUCAUUGAGAACAUUAUGCCUGCUUUAUAAAGAACACUUCAACAAUGUAUAAUUUUAGUAUUGCGCUAAAUCGUAAAAGGAUGAAGAAUUUAAGAAGAUCCGUAAUUUUUUAAUAAAAGUGGCACAAUAUUAAUAAUUUCUCAACAUUUCUCAGAAGGUGCAAAUCCGUAAAAAACUCUUAAACAUAUACAUUCUCUAAAGUUUUCCUAGGCAAUAUCGAACAAAAAUCAUCCAAAUUAGCAGACAUCGAUUUUAAAAGUUGAGUCACCUGACACGAAAUUGCGUAUGUGUAUUCAAAGCUUACUUCUAA